GUGGGGAAUCUUGGACAAUGGGCGCAAGCCUGAUCCAGCCAUGCCGCGUGAGUGAUGAAGGCCCUAGGGUUGUAAAGCUCUUUCGCACGCGACGAUAAUGACGGUAGCGUGAGAAGAAGCCCCGGCUAACUUCGUGCCAGCAGCCGCGGUAAUACGAAGGGGGCUAGCGUUGUUCGGAAUCACUGGGCGUAAAGCGCACGUAGGCGGAUUGUUAAGUCAGGGGUGAAAUCCCGAGGCUCAACCUCGGAACUGCCUUUGAUACUGGCAAUCUUUGAGUCCGGGAGAGGUGAGUGGAAUUCCGAGUGUAGAGGUGAAAUUCGUAGAUAUUCGGAAGAACACCAGUGGCGAAGGCGGCUCACUGGCCCGGUACUGACGCUGAGGUGCGAAAGCGUGGGGAGCAAACAGGAUUAGAUACCCUAGUAGUCC
rnacentral:rRNA from 1 species